AUUUUAUUAAUUUUAAAAAAAAUAUUAAACUGCAAAUUUAAAUUUAUUACUAAUAAUAAUAUAAAAUU
rnacentral:tRNA from 1 species